UACGUAGGGUGCGAGCGUUGUCCGGAAUUACUGGGCGUAAAGAGCUCGUAGGUGGUUUGUCGCGUUGUUCGUGAAAACUCACAGCUUAACUGUGGGCGUGCGGGCGAUACGGGCAGACUGGAGUACUGCAGGGGAGACUGGAAUUCCUGGUGUAGCGGUGGAAUGCGCAGAUAUCAGGAGGAACACCGGUGGCGAAGGCGGGUCUCUGGGCCGUAACUGACGCUGAGGAGCGAAAGCAUGGGGAGCGAACAGG
rnacentral:rRNA from 1 species